rnacentral:rRNA from 1 species
CGAAGGGUGCAAGCGUUAAUCGGAAUUACUGGGCGUAAAGCGUGCGCAGGCGGUUAUGUAAGACAGGUGUGAAAUCCCAGGGCUUAACCUUGGAACUGCAUUUGUGACUGCAUAGCUAGAGUACGGUAGAGGGGGAUGGAAUUCCGCGUGUAGCAGUGAAAUGCGUAGAUAUGCGGAGGAACACCGAUGGCGAAGGCAAUCCCCUGGACCUGUACUGACGCUCAUGCACGAAAGCGUGGGGAGCAAACAGGAUUAGAUACCCUGGUAGUCCACGCCCUAAACGAUGUCAACUGGUUGUUGGGUCUUCACUGACUCAGUAACGAAGCUAACGCGUGAAGUUGACCGCCUGGGGAGUACGGCCGCAAGGUUG